ensembl:lncRNA
AGCGUCUAUUCGGAAGGAAAAAUUCCUCGUGAAUGUGAGUUAAAGUAGCGCAUGCAAAGCUCUUGGCUUUGUGAGAGGCAGGUGGCGUGCUCGAUGUCAACCCCCUGAAAUUGCUCAGUUCCGACCCCGCGCAUCACAGUCGGGCCCCCCACCCCCAGUACCUACAGCCAAAGAAGUGGCUGGUUGUUUGGCACGCUUUCUUCCUCCAUUUGGACAAGGCUGAGCUGGGAGAAUAAGAGCUGUGUCAGGACUUACUCUGCAUUUUUCUCCUUCCCUCUGGGACAGCCCUGACCCCCGGCCCCAGGAGGAAACCACUUCAGCAUCACCGCCCAUUGAGAAUGUGUGUCUAGUGGGACAUAUCACCGGGCUUUAUCGUAUUUAAGGUUCACUGCGAAGACUGAAUAAAUGAAGGAAGGAAGGAAGGAAGGAAGGAAGGAAUGGGACCCCAGCUAGGGCAGUGGAAAGACCACAGCAUCGGGGGAUGAAGCCAUCAAGAGCACUCGCUGAGCAGCUGUUGACAAGCCCCCCGUGAAGACUCCUAAAGUGUUCCCAGAUGUCGCGGAUGAUGUGUGUCUCUGACACGCACGACAGAGGGCCGGGGGCACACCGGCUUCCUCCCCACAGGAGCCCUGGGCCAGAGUCCCGGGCAGAGCAGCUUCACAUUUGCCUCAAUAAAGACAAGGGCAGGUCCCACAGCAGACUGGGCAGGGACCAGGGGGCCCUGUGGCCCAUCAGACCCCUUCGGACAAUUCCGAAGAUCAUUCCUGGACUCAGCCGACCUGGAUUUCCUACAAUCGCUGCUGCCGAGCACUUGGGUGCAGAGGCAAGGAGCAAAACCACACUUAGAACACAGCCCAGCAGCAAAGCUCCCUCCCCGGGUCAGGAGUGUUUGACCACCAGGAAAUAAGAACAGUUCAUCUAAGUUUCUUCACCCUUUGUCCCAAGAUGCAAAAAUGUCAGAAAUGUGCACGGCUCUGGCCGCGGAGGGACACUGUCUUGACCCCUCAUCCAUUUCCUGCCUGGGGGCUGAGGGUCG